GACGAACGCUGGCGGCGUGCCUAAUACAUGCAAGUCGAACGCAGUGGGGACGGGUGAGUCACACGUGGGUAACCUGCCCAUCAGAGGGGAUAACCCUUGGAAACAGGUGCUAAACCGAUACUGAUGGAUGGACCCGACGUGCAUUAGCUAGGUGGUGGGGUAACGGCCAACCAAGGCCACGAGGCAUAACCGACCUGAGAGGGUGAGCGGCCACACGGGGACUGAGACACGGUCCAGACUCCUACGGUAGGGAGAAGUAGGGAAUCUUCGGCAAUGGACGAAAGUCUGACGGAGAAACGCCGCGUGAGGGAAGAAGGUUUUCGUGUCGUAAAACUCUGUUGUUAGAGAAGCGGUAUCUAAACAGAAAGACACGGCUAACUACGUGCGAGCCGCCGCUGUAAUUC
rnacentral:rRNA from 1 species